AACCCGUAGAUCCGAACUUGUGCUGUGCCCCUCUCACAAGCUCGAGUGUGCGGGUCUG
rnacentral:pre_miRNA from 2 species